rnacentral:rRNA from 1 species
AUUGAACGCUGGCGGCAGGCUUAACACAUGCAAGUCGAGCGGGGAAAAGUAGCUUGCUACUUUACCUAGCGGCGGACGGGUGAGUAAUGCUUAGGAAUCUGCCUAUUAGUGGGGGACAACAUCUCGAAAGGGAUGCUAAUACCGCAUACGUCCUACGGGAGAAAGCAGGGGACCUUCGGGCCUUGCGCUAAUAGAUGAGCCUAAGUCGGAUUAGCUAGUUGGUGGGGUAAAGGCCUACCAAGGCGACGAUCUGUAGCGGGUCUGAGAGGAUGAUCCGCCACACUGGGACUGAGACACGGCCCAGACUCCUACGGGAGGCAGCAGUGGGGAAUAUUGGACAAUGGGGGGAACCCUGAUCCAGCCAUGCCGCGUGUGCGAAGAAGGCCUUUUGGUUGUAAAGCACUUUAAGCGAGGAGGAGGCUACCGAGAUUAAUACUCUUGGAUAGUGGACGUUACUCGCAGAAUAAGCACCGGCUAACUCUGUG